rnacentral:rRNA from 1 species
AUUGAACGCUGGCGGCAGGCUUAACACAUGCAAGUCGAGCGGAGAUGAGGUGCUUGCACCUUAUCUUAGCGGCGGACGGGUGAGUAAUGCUUAGGAAUCUGCCUAUUAGUGGGGGACAACAUUCCGAAAGGAAUGCUAAUACCGCAUACGCCCUACGGGGGAAAGCAGGGGAUCUUCGGACCUUGCGCUAAUAGAUGAGCCUAAGUCGGAUUAGCUAGUUGGUGGGGUAAAGGCCUACCAAGGCGACGAUCUGUAGCGGGUCUGAGAGGAUGAUCCGCCACACUGGGACGGGGACACGGCCCAGACUCCUACGGGAGGCAGCAGUGGGGAAUAUUGGACAAUGGGCGGAAGCCUGAUCCAGCCAUGCCGCGUGUGUGAAGAAGGCCUUUUGGUUGUAAAGCACUUUAAGCGAGGAGGAGGCUACCUGGAUUAAUACUCUAGGAUAGUGGACGUUACUCGCAGAAUAAGCACCGGCUAACUCUGUGCCAGCAGCCGCCGUAAUAC